rnacentral:sRNA from 1 species
GCUGGGCGUGGUGGCGCACGCCUUUAAUCCCAGAACCUGGGAGGCAGAGGCAGGUGGAUCUCUGUGAGUUCAAGGCCAGCCUGGUCUACAUAGUGAGUUCCAGGACAGCUGGGGCUACAGGGAGACCCUGUCUCAAAAAGACCAAAAAAAAAAAUUUGUGUGUUUAUUUGUUUGGGUUUUUUUCUUUUUUAACUCACUUUGUAGAACAGGCUGGCCUUGAACUCAGAGAGAUCACAGAGAUCCACCUGCCUCU